rnacentral:rRNA from 1 species
UACGGGGGGAGCAAGCGUUGUUCGGAUUUACUGGGCGUAAAGGGCUCGUAGGUGGCCAACUAAGUCAGACGUGAAAUCCCUCAGCUUAACUGGGGAACUGCGUCUGAUACUGGAUGGCUUGAGUUUGGGAGAGGGAUGCGGAAUUCCAGGUGUAGCGGUGAAAUGCGUAGAUAUCUGGAGGAACACCGGUGGCGAAGGCGGCAUCCUGGCCUGUUCUUGACGCUGAGGCGCGAAAGCUAGGGGAGCAAACGGG